rnacentral:lncRNA from 1 species
CUUGCAUACAGACUGCUGCCACGCCAGCUGGCUAGGUUGCUCUUUUUUAUCUUUCAGUUUGUUCAUAUGGUGGAUCACAUUUAUCAAUUAUGUAUCCUGACAUAUAUCUGCAUCUCUAGGAGGAAGCCCAAUGAUCAUGGUAGAUGAUAGUUUUGAUGUGUUGUGGAUUCUAUUUGCUAAUAUUUUUGCACCUACAUACAGGGAGAGUGACGAAUUCCAUGAAGGAUCUUCAGAAUCUGUCAUAUCCUUUGGGAUAGGGCCUUGGCCCUCCCGGUGUUUCUAGGCUGAGGGAGUAACCCUCUAUGUGAAAUGGGCUCCCAAAUCCAUUCCUAUGGCAGGGCAGGCAGAAUUUGGGCGAUGGCAGAGACUGCCCACGUGGAAGUAGGGCUCAGGCGGCUUUUGGCAGAAAGAUUUAUCGUAAUAGAAUGGUGUCAAAAGUGGGAUGAUCCCAUGCCCCAAGGUUCCCAGAGGAAGAGUGAGACACAACUGCUCCUGGCACACCAAUUUUGUCAGAAUGGAGGAUGGGCAUCAAAGAAACUCAUUAUGGAGUUUGCUUUCAACAUGGCAAGAUUAGCCAUUUGGGCAAGAAACUGCCCUUGUCUGGACUGUUUGUUGCUGUAUAAACUGGACAUGGAGGACACACAAGAAAGGGACUGCUAAACUUACAAAACAAGACAUUACUGAUGGGUUCCUGUUGAAAUGGAGAAGUGUGCCAGACACACUGUGGCCUAUAGGCUGAAGAUGGAUGCCUCAACGUUUCAGAGGAACUUUGAACAGAGGACUGUCCAGAGCCCUCAUCCAGUGGCUGGUGGAAACAGAGACAGACAUCCACAGAUAUACACUGAGCCGAAAUCGGGAAUUUAGUUGAAGAGAGGGAGGAAUGAAGAACGAAGGGGGUCUGUACCAGGUUGGAGAAACCCACAGGAACAGGUGACCUAAACAAGGGAGAGCACAUCGACCCCAGAUGCUGUCCAGAAGGCCC